UGUUAAGUGGAAAAGGAUGUGGCGUUGCCCAGACAACUAGGAUGUUGGCUUAGAAGCAGCCAUCAUUUAAAGAGUGCGUAAUAGCUCACUAGUCGAGUGACACUGCGCCGAAAAUGUACCGGGGCUAAACAUAUUACCGAAGCUGUGGAUUGUCCUUUGGACAAUGGUAGGAGAGCGUUCUAAGGGCGUUGAAGCAUGAUCGUAAGGACAUGUGGAGCGCUUAGAAGUGAGAAUGCCGGUGUGAGUAGCGAAAGACGGGUGAGAAUCCCGUCCACCGAUUGACUAAGGUUUCCAGAGGAAGGCUCGUCCGCUCUGGGUUAGUCGGGUCCUAAGCUGAGGCCGACAGGCGUAGGCGAUGGAUAACAGGUUGAUAUUCCUGUACCACCUAUAAUCGUUUUAAUCGAUGGGGGGACGCAGUAGGAUAGGCGAAGCGUGCGAUUGGAUUGCACGUCUAAGCAGUAAGGCUGAGUAUUAGGCAAAUCCGGUACUCGUUAAGGCUGAGCUGUGAUGGGGAGGAGACAUUGUGUCUUCGAGUCGUUGAUUUCACACUGCCGAGAAAAGCCUCUAGAUAGAAAAUAGGUGCCCGUACCGCAAACCGACACAGGUAGUCAAGAUGAGAAUUCUAAGGUGAGCGAGCGAACUCUCGUUAAGGAACUCGGCAAAAUGACCCCGUAACUUCGGGAGAAGGGGUGCUCUUUAGGGUUAACGCCCAGAAGAGCCGCAGUGAAUAGGCCCAAGCGACUGUUUAUCAAAAACACAGGUCUCUGCUAAACCGUAAGGUGAUGUAUAGGGGCUGACGCCUGCCCGGUGCUGGAAGGUUAAGAGGAGUGGUUAGCUUCUGCGAAGCUACGAAUCGAAGCCCCAGUAAACGGCGGCCGUAACUAUAACGGUCCUAAGGUAGCGAAAUUCCUUGUCGGGUAAGUUCCGACCCGCACGAAAGGCGUAACGAUUUGGGCACUGUCUCAACGAGAGACUCGGUGAAAUCAUAGUACCUGUGAAGAUGCAGGUUACCCGCGACAGGACGGAAAGACCCCGUGGAGCUUUACUGUAGCCUGAUAUUGAAAUUCGGCACAG
rnacentral:rRNA from 1 species